GACGAACGCUGGCGGCGUGCUUAACACAUGCAAGUCGAACGGAAAGGCGCUGCUUGCGGGGUACUCGAGUGGCGAACGGGUGAGUAACACGUGGGUGAUCUGCCCUGCACUUCGGGAUAAGCCUGGUCAACUGGGUCUAAUACCGGCUAGGAGCCAUUUUUAGUGUGAUGGUUGGAUAGUUUUUUCGGUGUAGGAUGAGCUCGCGGCCUAUCAGCUUGUUGGUGGGGUAAUGGCCUACCAAGGCGGCGACGGGUAGCCGGCCUGGGAGGCGGGACGGCCACCUUGAGACUGAGGGACGGCCCAGACGCCUACGGGAGGCAGCAGUGGGGAAUAUUGCACAAUGGGCGCAAGCCUGAUGCAGCGACGCCGCGUGGGGGAUGACGGCUUACGGGUUGAAAACUCCUGUCGCUAGGGACGAAGCUUUUUGUGACGGUACCUAGAUAAGAAGCACCGGCUAACUACGU
rnacentral:rRNA from 1 species